GUCAUCGACAUAGAACGCAAACAAAAUGGCGCUGCCCAUUGUCCAAAUAUGUAAUGGAUUUUUUUAAUAACGUAAAUCUUUCAUGGGUUUUCUACUACAUAUUUCAGUAAGAGACAUCAUUUACAUUAUAUUAAGCCAUACAAGUCUUAACACCAGGGGUUCCCUUUAAGCUUUUGUGAGCGUUAGUUCGCUUUUGAAGCAUCGGUUUGCCCGGAGGCGCGGGGUGACUGUUCGAGAACGCGGGCACUGCUGAGAAGACGGAGAUGUUAUUUUCCGCCUGAUUAAUCAAAACGUUUGCGCCUGUGUCGAGAAAAAGCAACACGAGAAGACGGAUAAACUAUUGUUCGGCUGAGAAUACGGCUGAAUCAACUUAUAACUCCAUUAUUUACGCUCUUUGACAUAUACCCUGAACAUGGCUCAAGAACCAGGAAGGGGGGAAAAUGACCUUCUGUGAAAUAUGGUUUUGUUAAUGCACUUUGACACCAAUAACGAACAUGGCUCAAGAAACAAGAAGGGAAAGUGACUUCCAAGACUGGCAACACUGUGCAAAAAAAGGAGCAGUACUGAAAAACUUAUGACACUCAAAUCUAUCUUCCGGUCAAGAAAAAUAACUCCACUGCGAUCACUUCUCUUCUCCAAUGUUUGGAGGAGGUUAAAUUAUGGCUAGCCCAAAAUUUCCUCUUCUUAAACGAGGACAAGACCGAGGUAAUUGUUUUCAGUCCAAAUGAGAACUCUCAGUGUAUAAGCCCUGAGCUAGAAAGUUUAUCCGUUUUUAGAUCCUCACGGGUGCAGAACCUAGGUGUUAUUAUUGACCAGCAUUUAAAAUUUGAUAGACAUAUCUCCUCUGUUAUUGGAUCCAGUUUUUACCAGCUUCGUUUACUGUCUAAAAUUAAAAACUUUCUCUCUCCAAAAACUUUAGAAAUGGCUGUUCAUGCGUUUGUUACGUCGUGUCUAGAUUACUGCAAUUCUUUAUAUUGCGGUAUAUCUAAAUCUCAAAUUGCGCGACUUCAGCUUGUCCAAAAUGCUGCAGCUAGACUUCUUUUAAAGUGUCGUAAACAUGAACACAUAACUCCAAUUCUUAGAUCCCUUCACUGGUUGCCGAUUUGUCAGAGAAUAGACUUUAAAAUUCUCCUUUACGUUUAUAAAUCCCUACAUAACAAAGCUCCUGUCUGUUUAUCUGAACUUCUUCAUCCUUAUACUCCAUCUAGAAGCCUACGAUCCUGUGACUUGGCCUUGUUGGUGGUUUCUCGCGCUAGACUAAAGCAUUUGCGGUGGCAGGGCCUCGACUCUGGAAUACCCUGCCCUUAGAGAUUAGACUGGCCCCUUCCUUGUCUACCUUUAAGUCCUUGCUAAAAACUUUUUUAUUUUCCUUAGUGUAUUGACUACUGUGAUAUGUUACAUUUUUAAAUGGGUGGUUUUAAAUUUUUCUCUGAUUUAUUUUCCAUGUAUGUGUAAUAUUCUUGCUCUUCUGUAAAGCACUUUGGUCAGCCUGGGGGCUGUUGUAAAUGUGCUAUACAAAUAAAAUUGAAAUUGAAAUGGAAAUAACAUAAUAACAAAAGUAUAGUUUUAAUUAUUUAAUGACAAAUAUAAGUGCAGUAUGAAAAGCUGUAUAAAUGCAGUUAAUAGCUGUAGAUAAACAGUAUAAUACUGUAAAAGUACAUAAUAUUACAGCAGGAUACUGUAUUUGGUAAUUACAGUACUAUACUGUAAAUGUUGUUUACAGAAGUAGUACUGUAAAAAUACAGUAAGUGGCUGGCAACCCAGCUGCCAGUAUUUUACUGUAAAUUUACAAUGAAAAGUUUUACAGUGUUCCUCUUUAUAUGGAUUUUAUAUUUUUAUAAAAACACAAAUUUGUCCUUUUCAUUUUCCAAUU